UGACGUAAAAGUAGCGUUGAAUAAAUGAGAAAUAAAGAGCUGUGUAAAUUAAGUCUUUUCCAAGAGUAAUUGCUAUGCAGGAAAUUUGUGAAGCUCAUAAAUCAAUACAAUGAACAGUAUCAGAGAAGUUACAAUACAUUGUAAACCCCUUCGCAUAAAUUAGAUAAAAAUGAAAACAAAAAAAAAUCUGCGAACCUCUAAAGGGGACAGACUUCAUCACUAGCUGCCAUUUCAUGUACAUGUUUCUAUUGACUGUGGCUCUUCCGUUGCAAAAUUACAAUCUUUACUGAAGUGAAAUGUUGGGGAAUAGCAGAAGCAGUCUGCAGCACUUAUGUCAUACGUUGAUCCCACAACAUAAUAGAGCACAGAUAUAUAUUUACACGCUAUCUCACUCUCUACUUUUCCUCUUUACUUUUUUUUUUUUUUUAAUCCAAAUUCCCCGUUCCUUUUCUAUGGAAUGCCCUGGCACAUCUGCAUCUCAACGUUCCUAGAUAGAGAAUCCAUAAAGAUUCUAUGCCCAUACAAACCCUGGCCUUUCUUGUACUCAGAGGAAAGAAAAAAAACAAAGAUGUGGCAAAUAUAUUAUUGCCCAGAUAAUGAAGAUACGAUGCCAAUCUUGUUUUCAAAUUCUCGUUUUUGUUGUUCAUCAGCCUGCUUCCGUGCUCUAUUAUAGAGCUCAAUAGUCUCACCAUGGCCUGAAUCAAGACAAAGGGCAGCUUCACAAUCUCGUAGGGUGGAGAUAUUAUCACCCAUUGAGUCAUAAAAUGCAGCACGAAGAUGUAGCAACUGCAAAUCUGGCUUGAAAACUAUGGCCUUUGACAGCUCUGCUAUGGCCUCAGCUUCUCUGUGGUCAUCCAUUAAAACAGCUGCCCUGUAUCUGUAAGUAUAGGUCCUCAAGGGAUCAAGUUGAGUUGCCAUACUAAGGUCGCUCUUUGCCAUGUCACGAUCACAGUACUCAGAACGCUUCUCAUAAGCAGAUGCAUUAUUCCUGGCUUUUUCUAUUAGUUUUGUCAUCUCAUCAUAUGCAGCUUUGCGUUGAUUUUUCAGAUGAUAUACUCGUGCCAGACCUUGAUGUGCUCUUGUAUGCUUGAUAUUGAGUGCAUUCAUGUAACAGUCAGCAGCAAGAUCCAGUUUACCACAAUCAACAUAGACACUCCCUAGAUUAUUCAGUGCCUACAGAGCAUAAAAAUCACCCAACUUAAACAAUAUCCAGUUGCAUUCAUAAUAAUAGGAUUGCUUCAGUGUUGGCACUCACUUGUCCUUUCCUGAGGCCAUCUGAAGGGCACCUAAGAGCUUCCUCCAGAAGUUCAAUAACAUACAUUGAUGACUUAGAAUCAAGACUUGAAUCUGCUAAAGCAUAUGCCUUAAGGAAAAAAGCCUCAAAUGAUCUCUGAAUUGAAACGGACUCCUCAGCCUUAGCAAGGGCUUCCUCUCGAUGGCCAGUGUCAUACAAAAUCCAUCCUUCAUAGACAAGCCUUUCAUGCUUAGAAGUAGCACAAUUUCUAGCCAACCGUAGACAACGCAUCGCAGCCUUUUGGCAAUUUAACCGUAAAAGCAGAAGGGAUUGCCGAAAACAUAGAAGGCUCUUCCCAGGGUCAUUUGCCAGCAUAUGGUGUACAACAGCCAAGGAGCCUAUAUCAUCAACAGAGGACCAUCUAUCAUAAAGAUGCAUCCAGCAAUCAGCCUGACUCCACUGCUGGACUAAAGGAUGAAGAAGUUCUACCAAGUGAUUCCCAUGCAUUUUCCCAUGAAACAUAAUAUAAUUUGGGUCUAAAGUCAAUAAUGCCCAGAUAUCUCUGAGAGCUCCUUCAUAGUCCUCCAAAACAAUUGAAAUCCAAGCUCUUAAUUCAAGGCAAUCAGGAGAGACCUUGAAACCAAUUAUUUUGUUGAGCUCUGAGAUUGCUGCUCCAAGUCUGUUCUCCUGCACCAACAAAACAGCCCUGUACUUGUAUGGAAAAGAAAGAGUUGGAUCCAAUUCAGUUGCUGUGUUCAAAUCCAUCAUCUUCUCCUUCCCAACACAAUAUAAAGACCUUUCCUGAUACAUCCACCCAGCUGGUUUAUAAUCAGAAACCAGUGAAUUCAUCAUCUUGUACGCUGAAUACUUGUGACCACGUUUGCACCUGGCCCUUGCAAUACCAACUGAUGAAUAAACAUGACCUACCUCAACUGCCGCUACAAACCAAUUCUGGGCGUCUUUAUAUUCUUUCCUUUCAAGCAUCACAACACCUAAUUGGUGAUAAGCAAGUUGUUUCUGCCAAACUUCAGUUGCACACUCUGCCAACCUCUCCAAAAGCAUCACCGUUGCAUUGGAUUUCAUGUCUUCCUCCAAAGCAAUCUGACUCAAGAAGUAAUACAACAAAAAUGAAGCAUGUCCAACCAGAGCCAAUUUCUCCCUACCCUGUGAACUACAAAACAAUCUCAUCACAUUUGAAUUGUACAUUGAAUUUGGAAGCUCUCUCAAAAACACCUGUAAACAAGCAGCAACUAAAAGAUAUGCAGUCUCCUCCAAACCAAACUCAAUUAAAACCAUGGCCUCCUCCAUUUCUGAAACCAAAGAUGCCAAAUGGGCAUCACAAGCUGACUUCAAUUCCUCGCAACAAAACCUGUUUGCCAAAGAAAGAAGCUCUAAUACGAU
rnacentral:misc_RNA from 1 species